rnacentral:misc_RNA from 1 species
GAUGAAGAACGUAGCGAAAUGCGAUACUUGGUGUGAAUUGCAGAAUCCCGUGAACCAUCGAGUCUUUGAACGCAAGUUGCGCCCGAAGCCACUAGGCCGAGGGCACGCCUGCCUGGGCGUCACACGCCGUUGCCCCCCCAUCUACUCCUUCGGGAUUGCGGGGGGGCGGAUGAUGGCCUCCCGUGCGCCUAGCCGCGCGGUUGGCAUAAAUACCAAGUCCUCGGCGACGCACGCCACGACAAUCGGUGGUUGCGAAACCUCGGUUGCCCGUCGUGUGCGUUCGUCGCGCAUCGAGGGCUCGAAAAAAUGCUCGGCUCCGGCUGGGCUUUCAACGCGACCCCAGGUCAGGCGGGGUUACCCGCUGUAUUUAAGCAUAUCAAUAAGCGGAGGA